rnacentral:rRNA from 1 species
UGGGGAAUAUUGCACAAUGGGGGAAACCCUGAUGCAGCAACGCCGCGUGAAGGAAGAAGGUCUUCGGAUUGUAAACUUCUAUCGAUGGGAACGAAAAAAAUGACGGUACCCAAGUAAGAAGCCCCGGCUAACUACGUGCCAGCAGCCGCGGUAAUACGUAGGGGGCAAGCGUUAUCCGGAAUUACUGGGUGUAAAGGGUGAGUAGGCGGCCUGUAAAGUCACAUGUGAAAUUCCGAGGCUUAACUUCGGAACUGCAUGAGAAACUUACGGGCUAGAGUACAGGAGAGGUAAGCGGAAUUCCUAGUGUAGCGGUGAAAUGCGUAGAUAUUAGGAAGAACACCAGUGGCGAAGGCGGCUUACUGGACUGAAACUGACGCUGAGUCACGAAAGCGUGGGGAGCGAACA